GGAAUCUUCCACAAUGGACGAAAGUCUGAUGGAGCAACGCCGCGUGAGUGAUGAAGGUUUUCGGAUCGUAAAACUCUGUUGUAAGGGAAGAACAAGUACGAGAGGUAAUGCUCGUACCUUGACGGUACCUUGCGAGAAAGCCACGGCUAACUACGUGCCAGCAGCCGCGGUAAUACGUAGGUGGCAAGCGUUGUCCGGAAUUAUUGGGCGUAAAGCGCGCGCAGGCGGCCUUUUAAGUCUGAUGUGAAAGCCCCCGGCUCAACCGGGGAGGGUCAUUGGAAACUGGAAGGCUUGAGUACAGAAGAGAAGAGUGGAAUUCCAUGUGUAGCGGUGAAAUGCGUAGAGAUGUGGAGGAACACCAGUGGCGAAGGCGACUCUUUGGUCUGUAACUGACGCUGAGGCGCGAAAGCGUGGGGAGCAAACAGGAUUAGAUACCCUUG
rnacentral:rRNA from 1 species